rnacentral:rRNA from 1 species
AAGACUACCCGCUGAACUUAAGCAUAUCAAUAAGCGGAGGAAAAGAAACCAACAGGGAUUGCCUCAGUAACGGCGAGUGAAGCGGCAAAAGCUCAAAUUUGAAAUCCCCCGGGAAUUGUAAUUUGAAGGACCUAUUAAAACCCUGAGAGAGCCCAAAGUCCAUUGGAAAAUGGCGCCAUAGAAGGUGAUAGCCCUGUGUGGACCUCUCUCCAGCAUACUUUUUAGGCCCAAAGAGUCGAGUUGUUUGGGAAUGCAGCUCUAAGUGGGUGGUAAAUUCCAUCUAAAGCUAAAUAUUGGCGAGAGACCGAUAGCGAACAAGUACAGUGAUGGAAAGAUGAAAAGCACUUUGAAAAGAGAGGUGAAAAAGUACGUGAAAUUGUUGAAAGGGAAGGGCUUGCAAGCAGACACAACCUCGGUUGGGCCAGCAUCGGGGCGGGGGGAAACAAAAAAGGUGUGGAAUGGGGUCUUACGAGUGUUAUAGCCCCACCCAAUAUUUCCAUCCCAUCCCGAGCCUGCGAUCUUUC